GGGUGAGUAAUGUAUCGGAACGUACCUUUCAGUGGGGGAUAACGUAGCGAAAGUUACGCUAAUACCGCAUAUUCUGUGAGCAGGAAAGCAGGGGAUCGCAAGACCUUGCGCUGAUUGAGCGGCCGAUAUCAGAUUAGCUAGUUGGUGAGGUAAAGGCUCACCAAGGCGACGAUCUGUAGCGGGUCUGAGAGGAUGAUCCGCCACACUGGAACUGAGACACGGUCCAGACUCCUACGGGAGGCAGCAGUGGGGAAUUUUGGACAAUGGGGGCAACCCUGAUCCAGCCAUGCCGCGUGAGUGAAGAAGGCCUUCGGGUUGUAAAGCUCUUUCGGCCGGGAAGAAAUCGUAUGGGUUAAUACCCUGUGCGGAUGACGGUACCGGCAUGAGAAGCACCGGCUAACUACGUGCCAGCAGCCGCGGUAAUACGUAGGGUGCGAGCGUUAAUCGGAAUUACUGGGCGUAAAGCGAGCGCAGGCGGUUUUGUAAGACAGGCGUGAAAUCCCCGGGCUCAACCUGGGAACUGCGCUUGUGACUGCAAGGCUAGAGUAUGGCAGAGGGGGGUGGAAUUCCACGUGUAGCAGUGAAAUGCGUAGAGAUGUGGAGGAACACCAAUGGCGAAGGCAGCCCCCUGGGCCAAUACUGACGCUCAUGCACGAAAGCGUGGGUAGCAAACAGGAUUAGAUACCCUGGUAGUCCACGCCCUAAACGAUGUCAACUAGGUGUUGGGUGGGUAAAACCAUUUAGUACCGGAGCUAACGCGUGAAGUUGACCGCCUGGGGAGUACGGCCGCAAGGUUAAAACUCAAAGGAAUUGACGGGGACCCGCACAAGCGGUGGAUGAUGUGGAUUAAUUCGAUGCAACGCGAAAAACCUUACCUACCCUUGACAUGUCCAGGAGCCUGAAGAGAUUUGGGUGUGCCCGAAAGGGAACAGGAACACAGGUGCUGCAUGGCUGUCGUCAGCUCGUGUCGUGAGAUGUUGGGUUAAGUCCCGCAACGAGCGCAACCCUUGUCGUUAAUUGCCAUCAUUUAGUUGGGCACUUUAACGAGACUGCCGGUGACAAACCGGAGGAAGGUGGGGAUGACGUCAAGUCCUCAUGGCCCUUAUGGGUAGGGCUUCACACGUCAUACAAUGGUCGGUACAAAGGGUUGCCAACCCGCGAGGGGGAGCCAAUCCCAGAAAGCCGAUCGUAGUCCGGAUUGCAGGCUGCAACUCGCCUGCAUGAAGUCGGAAUCGCUAGUAAUCGUGGAUCAGCAUGUCACGGUGAAUACGUUCCCGGGUCUUGUACACACCGCCCGUCACACCAUGGGAGCGGGUUCCGCCAGAAGUAGGUAGCCUAACCGCAAGGGGGGCGCUUACCACGGCGGGGUUC
rnacentral:rRNA from 1 species